rnacentral:rRNA from 1 species
UACGGGGGGGGCAAGCGUUGUUCGGAAUUACUGGGCGUAAAGGGCUCGUAGGCGGCCAACUAAGUCGGAUGUGAAAUCCCCAGGCUCAACCUGGGAACUGCAUCCGAUACUGGAUGGCUUGAAUUCGGGAGAGGGAUGCAGAAUUCCAGGUGUAGCGGUGAAAUGCGUAGAUAUCUGGAGGAACACCGGUGGCGAAGGCGGCAUCCUGGACCGGUAUUGACGCUGAGGCGCGAAAGCUAGGGGAGCAAACGGG